rnacentral:rRNA from 1 species
AAACCAGCACCUCAAGUGGUCAGGAUGAUUAUUGGGCCUAAAGCAUCCGUAGCCGGCUCUGUAAGUUUUCGGUUAAAUCUGUACGCUCAACGUACAGGCUGCUGGGAAUACUGCAGGGCUAGGGAGUGGGAGAGAUGGACGGUACUCGGGAGGAAGUGGUAAAAUGCUUUGAUCUCUCGAUGACCACCUGUGGCGAAGGCGGUCUAUCAGAACACGUCCGACGGUGAGGGAUGAAAGCUGGGGGAGCAAACCGGAUUAGAAACCCCAGUAGUCC